rnacentral:rRNA from 1 species
GAACGCUGGCGGCAGGCCUAACACAUGCAAGUCGAGCGCGAAAGUUCUUCGGAACGAGUAGAGCGGCGGACGGGUGAGUAACGCGUGGGAAAUUGCCCAGUAGUGGGGGACAACAUUCGGAAACGGAUGCUAAUACCGCAUACGCCCUACGGGGGAAAGCAGGGGAUCUUCGGACCUUGUGCUAUUGGAUAUGCCCGCGUCGGAUUAGCUAGUUGGUGAGGUAAUGGCUCACCAAGGCAACGAUCCGUAGCUGGUCUGAGAGGAUGAUCAGCCACACUGGGACUGAGACACGGCCCAGACUCCUACGGGAGGCAGCAGUGGGGAAUAUUGGACAAUGGGCGCAAGCCUGAUCCAGCCAUGCCGCGUGUGUGAAGAAGGCUCUAGGGUUGU